rnacentral:rRNA from 1 species
GAUGAACGCUGACGGCGUGCCUAACACAUGCAAGUCGAGCGAUUUACUUCGGUAAAGAGCGGCGGACGGGUGAGUAACGCAGGGGUAACCUGCCUCAUACACAUGGAUAACAUACCGAAAGGAAUGCUAAUACGAGAUGAUAUAAGAGAUUCGCAUGGAUUUCUUAUCAAAGCUUUUGCGGUAUGAGAUGGCCCAGCGUCUGAUUAGCUAGUUGGUAAGGUAACGGGUUACCAAGGCGACGAUCAGGAGCCGACCUGAGAGGGUGAUCGGCCACAUUGGAACUGAGACGCAGUCCAAACUCCUACGGGAGGCAGCAGUGGGGAAUAUUGCACAAUGGGCGAAAGCCUGAUGCAGCAACGCCGCUUGAGCGAUGAAGGCCUUCGGGUCGUAAAGCUCUGUCCUCAAGGAAGAUAAUGACGGUACUUGAGGAGGAAGCCCCGGCUAACUACGUGCCAGCCGCCGCAGUAAAAC